UGGGGAAUAUUGGACAAUGGGCGCAAGCCUGAUCCAGCAAUGCCGCGUGGGUGAAGAAGGCCUUCGGGUUGUAAAGCCCUUUUGUACGGGAAGAAAUCCUGUCGGUUAAUACCCGGCGGGGAUGACGGUACCGUAAGAAUAAGCACCGGCUAACUUCGUGCCAGCAGCCGCGGUAAUACGAAGGGUGCAAGCGUUACUCGGAAUUACUGGGCGUAAAGCGUGCGUAGGUGGUUUGUUAAGUCUGAUGUGAAAGCCCUGGGCUCAACCUGGGAAUGGCAUUGGAUACUGGCGAGCUAGAGUGCGGUAGAGGGUAGUGGAAUUCCCGGUGUAGCAGUGAAAUGCGUAGAGAUCGGGAGGAACAUCUGUGGCGAAGGCGACUACCUGGACCAGCACUGACACUGAGGCACGAAAGCGUGGGGAGCAAA
rnacentral:rRNA from 1 species